GAUUCUUUCUCACUGUUUAUGUACCUUCAUCUUUUGUCUGCGCUGUGCUUUUGGUUCUUCGUUUCAUCUCACUCGAAUUUAUUUCCUUUUUUUGUGCAUCUUCGGUAUGCUUUCGUUACUGAAUUUGGAUUUUGGGUUUUUUUUUUUUUUGCAGGGCGAUGUCCGAUCAGAACCCCAAAUCAAUUUUGCUGCAGCCGACCUAUCUACUUGAUAUUGUCAGUUUUUCUUGAAUUUCUUGCAUGCAUUCGCAGUUAAGUGAAGAAAAUCAACAACUUGUUGUCUUUUUAAAGCUACAUUCGUAUUAUAUUUAAAGAAAAUCAAAAGAAACCGUAGUUUUCAAGAAUAUAUUGGCAUUACGAAUAUCAAAAUUUCAAGAAAUCUUUCUUUUUCCAACAAAUUAUGUUGUUAUUCUCACAGUGUAUGGAUAUUGAAGAAUUUGUUACAUUAGCAAAUGCCUAAGGCUAUUUGGAGUUCAAUUCGGUCAGCGUAUGAUUUUCACAAGGGUGGGUUACCACCUAGGAAUUGAAUGGAAAGUUGAAUGAAGACAUUCGAUUGGACAGACUUUUGUAUACAGCCCCUUCAGUUCUUUUACAUAGUUGAGAUUUUUGAACUUGAUUCUUAAAAGUUGAAAAUUGUGUCAAGUAAGAUAAUGGGGAAUUCUGAAAAGAUGAAUGAUUUUUGACAUUGAUCUAAUGCAUUUAAUGUUGCUCAAUUUAUUAUAUUACUUCAUUAUCUCAAGUUAUACUUUCUUUUGAAGGAUUGUCGGAAGUUGUACUUUACUUUUGAAGGAUGUGGUGUUAAUCAACUAUUCCUUCCUUUACGCUAGCAACAACAAAAUACUGCCAUUCAGAUGUUAUGUGUGCUUUCCCAGCAAGCUUUGUCUUUAAAGGAGAGUCCGUGAGCUAGUUCUAAUUCGGACCUUUCUUUUGUUGGAAAUUGUUAGUAAUACAACUCAUGGGAGUUAGUUUGGGUAGUAUCCAUUAGGUUAUCGAAAGGUUUUGAAGGUAAAGUUCUUUUGAGAUUUAGCUUGGGUAGUAUCCAUUAGGAUAGGUAUAACACUACUAACCUGGUCGUUGUUUUUGACAUUGUUUACAGGAUGACAUGUUUUGUACCUUGAAAUUGCUAAAUCAAAUAUAUUAGUUAUGUUUCUCUCUUCAGGCCAAGUGUGAAAAUGAAACUUGUUGACAUCUGAAAUAGGAAAUACUAGGCUCAAGGGGAGCACACAAGUACACACGAUGGGGAGUCAACAAAACGUUCUGAUUAACGUAAUUGGAAGUUCCUACAAUUGAUCAGACUAAAAAGAUAAACUUCAUUCUGUCAAGUUGAAGUAAUCACAAAAUUGUAUGUAUAAAGAUAAAAUGGACAAACAAGGUGAUUUUUGAUGAUGUUGAAAGUUGAUAUAUAUGUGUCUGUUUGGCUUCGAUUCAAAAGUUUUUGGAAGUUUGCAAAGAUUAGAUGCUAUUUGCUAGAGUAUAUUAAAAAGUUAGCAGUUACUGUGCUUUGCAUUAGGAGCUUAAAAGGAUUUAGUUUCAUUCUAGAAAAAGAAACAUUGAUGGUCUUACCUUUCUUAGUUUUAUUGAUAAGUAUUACUGUUUCGUAGUGAUGAAUGUUGAGGUUCAAAAAAUAAUGUUAUUCCUUCUCUGUUUAUCCUGUAUUUGAAUCACUAUUUCAUUCAAGAUCAUUAUGUUCUUCUUUGUUGAAAUGAAUAUACCUUUCCUCAUUGAAUUUAUUUAUCAUCCUAUUGUUUAAGUUGGUCGACACAGCAUGUUCUCUCCGGGUUGAAUAUAAUAUGGAUGAUUUGUACAUCUAUGGAGAAAUCCUCAGCAUUCUCCAACAUUGAAUGGAAGGAGCGAAAACCACACUGGACCAGGAUCUUUUAUGUAGGGAUAUUCUUAGGUGGUCAGGCAAUUAAGUUGAGUUACAUAUAAACUCUACACAUGGGUUAAUUCCUGAGACUGGUCAUUUUCUUUUCCUUUUACAGUAUCCAAUCUCAAUGAAUAUCAAUUGAGUUCUUAAUUUAAGAUCAGAAAUUGUAUAAAGCAAUCAAAAUUGUGGAAGUUUCAGACUCAUUUUUUUGAAGGAUAAUUUUUUCAUUCUUA